rnacentral:rRNA from 1 species
AGUGAACGCUGGCGGUAGGCCUAACACAUGCAAGUCGAACGGCAGCACAGGAGAGCUUGCUCUCUGGGUGGCGAGUGGCGGACGGGUGAGGAAUACAUCGGAAUCUACUCUGUCGUGGGGGAUAACGUAGGGAAACUUACGCUAAUACCGCAUACGACCUACGGGUGAAAGCAGGGGAUCUUCGGACCUUGCGCGAUUGAAUGAGCCGAUGUCGGAUUAGCUAGUUGGCGGGGUAAAGGCCAACCAAGGCGACGAUCCGUAGCUGGUCUGAGGGGAUGAUCAGCCACACUGGAACUGAGACACGGGCCGGACUCCUACGGGAGGCAGCAGUGGGGAAUAUUGGACAAUGGGCGCAAGCCUGAUCCAGCCAUACCGCGUGGGUGAAGAAGGCCUUCGGGUUGUAAAGCCCUUUUGUUGGGAAAGAAAUCCAGCUGGUUAAUACCCGGUUGGGAUGACGGUACCCAAAGAAUAAGCACCGGCUAACUUCGUGCCAGCCGCCGCGGUAA